rnacentral:lncRNA from 1 species
CCCAAUCGGCGGGAGAGACUCGUGUGUGUUUGGCCUUUCCUCAUGACGUAGCGUUCUGUGCCUCUCCCCCCCCCCCCCCCGCUCCCUCUCCUUUUCCCCUCCCUCCUCGCCCCCCUCCCCUUCCCCUCGCAUCCUUGGAAGCAACAAUUAAGCAGCUCUGGGAUAAAACACACAGCCCGCGGGAGCACGAGGGCAUUGCUUCAAGAGAUGGCAAGGCAGGCAGCUGCACCCCUCCUCCCCGGAGUCCUCCUCCUCCUCUCCAUCCUCCCGGCUACUCAGCAAGGAGGGGUUCCUGGUGCUAUCCCGGGAGGGGGAGUCCCAGGAGGAGGAUUUUUCCCAGGUGCUGGAGUUGGAGGUUUGGGAGCAGGACUCGGGGCUGCAGGAAAACCUCCCAAACCAGGUGCUGCGGGCCUGUUCCCCGGAGCUGCCUUCCCCGGGGGGGGUGUUCCCGGGAGCCGCCUCGGCCGCGGCGCUCAAGGCUGCUGCAAAAGCUGGUGCUGGCAUUGGAGGCGUGGGUGGAAUUGGUGGUCCUGGUGGCCUCGGGGUCUCCACAGGUGCCGUGGUACCGGGCGUGGUGCAGCCCGGCCUUGGCGCGGCAGGGAAACCCCCUAAAAUACCAGGUGCUGGGAUUCCUGGAGCUUUUCCAGGCGGUGUGCUCCCCGGAGCAGGUGUUCGCUUCCCUGGUGUGGGAGUGCUGCCUGGAGUCCCCACUGGAGCUGGAGUCAAGCCCAAAGCCCCAGGAGUUGGAGCAUUUGGAGGAAUCCCUGGACUGGGAGGUUUUGGAGGUCAGCAGCCUGGUGUCCCUCUGGGUUAUCCCAUCAAAGCUCCUAAGCUCCCAGGUAAGGUCCACAGCCAGCAGAGUGGCUUCACUGUGGGUGAAGGAUCCCCAGCAGUGUCAGGAGAAGGACCCGCCAUUCCCUGGGGCUGGGGCACGGUGCCCACAGGUCCCCUGGACCUGGCAGUGCCUGUGCUGGCCUUGGGACAGCAGGACAGAGCCAGGGGCUCUGCUGUGCCCUUCCUGUGGCACCCCAUGGGCAGCUCCUGGGGUUCUGCCUGUGGUCUUGCCCCCGGCUCACGUGGACAAUGCUGUGCCUCUCUCCAGCUGCUGUAAGGUAGGAAGGAUCACGUUCUGGGGACACACUCUGGGCCAGGACACCCUGGGAUGUCCCUGCCACCUGCUGCUGGUGCAAGGCACAGCCCUUGCAGGGACAAUCUGCUUUCUGGGCUGGGUGUCCUGGCUCAAGGAGCUGUAGCUGAGGCCACCUGGGGCCUCCAGGCAGAUCUCUGUCCCC